GACGGAGGAUGCAAGUGUUAUCCGGGAAUCACUGGGCGUAAAGCGUCUGUAGGUGGUUCGAAAAGUCCACUGUUAAAAAUUGAGCUUAACUUCAAAGAUGCCGUGGAAACUUUCAAACUAGAGUAUGGUAGGGGUAGAGGGAAUUUCCAGUGGAGCGGUGAAAUGCGUAGAUAUUGGAAAGACCACCGAUGGCGAAGGCACUCUACUGGGCCACUACUGACACUGAGAGACGAAAGCUAGGGGAGCAAAUGGG
rnacentral:rRNA from 1 species